AAGCUCGGUGGCCUUUAAAGAACAUCCAUGGGCACUGAAGCACAUAAGGAAGCUAUGGAACCCAAGUCGUUGUCAGGUGUCUGAAAGGGAUAGUCUUUGAAUAUCCUAGAUUUCCUUUGAGUUGGAAUCGGCUCAACAGUAACAGGUUUGGUUUUUUGUUUUAUACUUGAAGACCUUCCCUACAUGUAAAGGCAUGAACAUAUACAAGUUUUAUAUGUCUUUACAGGGACCCCCCAAGAGAAAGACUUCUCCCAAUUAACACGGCCAAGAAGAUUUCCUUUUCUAAGAAUUCUUUAGCCAGUUAGUAGGCUUUCAUUUGAUAGUUUUCUUCUCAGCCAUAGGGGAUCAUGAAAGGGGAUCAUCUCUCAGUUCUUGGGAACUACAUCCAAAUAUUCUAGUUAACAGAUAUCUUGUUUUUAAAGUCUGGAGUCUCUUCUAGGUAAUAUGAUGACAUUAUUUUUAUAACUUGCAUUGUUGGGAAAUUAUUUUUCAUAAUUAUUGCUAAAUUCAAAGAGACAGGUAAUGUGUGGCAUUGUUGUUUUGCAGAGAAUUCCAAAACAUUGUAUUCUGUUAUUCACGUGUCUCCCAAUCUUCUUUCAGACAGAUGUGCCCUUAUUUUUAAGUGCAUAGUGUUAACAGUCCUUUGGAAGGUUGCUGGCUGAUCUUCAGUGAUGCUUUUUAAUAAUUAUGUUAUUUUGAGCUUGCCAAGUAGAAUUUAUUGUCUGGACUAAAAUUUAUUUCCUAAUCUUCUGACGACCAAGAGAGGAAAAAUUAAAUUUGCAGAUGUGAGAUGAAAUCUAGCCAGUGAAUAUGCAUACUGAUUCUGAAUGAAAGGAAUCAACUUGUGUUUCAGUAGGGGAACAUAGGCUGCAUGCAGUAAAUUGAAUUUUUCCUCCAACUGGAGCAAUUUAUUUAAUUCUUAUUUGAACACUGCCCUUUCUCCAUUAAGAACACUAAUGAUUAGCUAAUUUUUUUUUUUUUUUUUAAGAAAUCUGUUUUUUUAGUUAAGCUCAGGAUUCUUCAGAUGUUUUUUAUCCUGGAGAAGACUGUUGAAAGAGAGCGGUUUAACAGUAUUCUUUGAAAAUAACUUUUUUAUUGUUAUUCAAAACAAUACAUGCUCAUUAUAUAAAAUUUUGAAGCAAAGAGAAGAAAAUAAAAACCACCCAUAAUCCCACCACCUAGAGAUAAGGGCUUUUAGACAUAUUUUCUUCCAGUUUUUUCCAUGCAUACACAAACACGUAUAUUUAUAAUUUUAUUACAAAAAAUGGGAUUCUGCUAUGUUAUAAAACAGUAUGUUUUUAUAAUUUGCUGUUUCCAUUUAACAACAAAUUAUAAAUAUUCUUAAGUUACUUAAUUAGAACCUUCAUUAAACAUAUUUAUGAGUAAAAUACUAAAUCUACACAAAAGAAAAAUGGAAUGACAUCUUGGUUCAUUCAUUUACUCAUUUUUUAAAAUGUGUAGCACAUUGCCUCGUUUGUAGUUAAUGCUCAGUAAAUGUUGAAGACUCAUCACCAUCAUCAUUAUUAAUUUAUUCAUUAGUCAUUAUUAAAUUAUUUAUUGCUUUAUUAAGAACCCUACUAUAUACCAGGCACUGUGCUGUAAACUGGGAAUGCCAAGAGUGUAAGAUGAAGAGGGAAGUGAUGGGAUUAAGGAUAUAAGACAAAAGACAAUAUCAAAUCACAUUAAGAAACAGGACAAGAUGGCUCCAGCAAGCAACCAAAAUAAAGAACUAGAAAAUUUUCUGGAGGAAGAUAAGGCAACAGAAACACCUGAUAAACAAUCCAAAAGACUAAUAUACACAGCUUUCCAAGAGAUCAGGGAAAACACAGCAAAACAAAGGAAAACACAGACAAAGCAAUAGAAGAAUUCAGGAAAACAAUACAAGAACAAAGCAACAAAACUAAUAGACAAUUAGAAACCAUACAAAAACAGCAAUUAGAAAUCCAAGCAAUUAACAAUAUAAUUUCGGAAAGAGACAACUCAAAAGAAGGAUCCAAACUUACUGCUGUUGAGUCGGUUCCAACUCAUAGCAACCCCAUAGGGUUUCCAAGGUUGUAAAUCUCUACAGAAGCAGAUUGCCACAUCUUUCUUCUGUGAAUAGAAGGACAUAAGACAGAAUUGGUGAAAUCACUUCACCCCAUAUUGUUUGAGGAAAAAUCAGAAAAAGAAUGAGGAAAAGUGAAGAAAGCCUAAGAAUUAUGUGGGACACUAUCAAGAGGAAAAACUUACAUGUGUUCAGAGUUCCAGAACAGGAGGGAGCACUGUAAAACACAGAGUUGUUGAAGAUUUGUUGGCAGAAAACUUCCCGAAUAUCAUGAAAGACGAGAAGAUACCCAUCCAAGAAGCUCAACAAACCCCAUACAGGAUAAACUUCAAAAGAAAGUCACCAAGAUGUAUCAUAAUAAAACUUGCCAAAACCAAAGACAAAGAAAAAAUCCUGAGAGCAGCUAGGGAGAUAAAAAAAAAAUCACCUAGUAAGGAGAAUCAAUAAGACUAAGCUCUGAUUACUCAGCAGAAAUCAUGCAGGCAAUAAGGCAAUGGGAUGACAUAUAUAAGGCCUUGAAAGAAAAAAAUUGCCAGCCAAGAAUUAUAUAUCCAGCAAAACUCUCUCUCAAAUACAACGGUGAAAUUAGGACAUUUCCAGGUAAACAGAAAUUAAGAGAAUUUGUAAAACCAGACCAAAAUUAAAGAAAUAUUAAAGAGAAUUCUCCAAAUGGAGUACGAACGUCAGACAACAAUCAAAGAUUAGGACACAGGACAGAUCAAACAGACAUCAGCCCUGAUAAAGAAUUAUCAAAAAUAAAGCUAAAAGACUGGAAUAGGGAUCCAGACACCUCAACAUGUAAACAAUGACAUCAAAACAAAAAGAAGGAAUGAACAGUGUAGUUACAGAACAUCCAUAUAGAGAAGUCAAGGCAAUAUCAAGAAAUAAAAGACUGGUUUAAACUUAGGAAAAUAAAAUGUAAGUUUCAAGGUAACAACAAAAAAGAAAAGCAUAGACACAGUAAACACACAAUCAACAAUAAUGAAAGAAAUAAAAAGAAAAUCUGUAAACAAAAAGAACUCAGCACAGAAAAUUAAGCAGAACAAAGAAACUGUGAACACCCCAAAAAAAGUACAAAAUGACAGCAGUAAACUCAUACCUAUCGAUAAUUACACUGAAUGUAAAUGGCUUAAAUACAGCACUUAAGAGACAGAGUGUGGCUGAAUGGAUUAAAAAACCAUGAUCCAUCUGUAUGCUGUAUAUAAGAGACACACCUUGGACACAAAGACAUUAAUAAACUAAAACUCGAAGAAUGGAAAAAAAUAUAUAUCAAGCAAACAGUAACCAAAAAAGAGCAGGAGUGGCAAUAUUAAUCUCUGAUAAAAUAGCCUUUAAGGCAAAAUCCACCAUAAAAAAUAAUGAAGGACAUUAUAUAAUGAUUAAGGGGCCAACCCACCAGGAGGACAUAACCACAAUAAAUAUGUAUGCGCCCAACAACAGGGCUCCAAAAUACAUUAAAAAAAUUCUGACAGCACCGAAAAGAGAAAUUAAUGGUUCCACGAUAAUAAUAGUAGACUUCAACACAACACUUUCGGUGAAGGACAGAAUAUCUAGAAAGAAACUCAAUAAAGAUACAGAAGAUCUAACUGGCACAAUCAACCAACUUGACCUCAUAGACAUACAGGACACUCCACCCAACAACAGCAAUGUAUACAUUCUUUUCCAGUGCUCAUGGAACAUUCUUCAUGCCACAGAGCAAGCCUCAACAAAAUCCGAAACAUCAGAAUAAUACAAAGCAUAUUCUCUGAUCACAACACCAUAAAAGUACAAAUCAAUAACAGAAAUAACAAGGAAGAAAACCAAAUAUAUAGAAACUGACCAACACCUUGCUUAAUAACCACUGAGUAUUAGAAGAAGAAAUCUAGAAGAGAAUCAAAAAAAUUCAUAGAUUCAAAUCAGAAUGAAAACACAUCAUACCAAAACCUUUUUGACAUAGCAUAAGCAGUGCUUAGAGGUCAAGUCAUAGCCAUAAAUGCAUACAUCAAAAAAGAAGAAAGGGCCAAAAUCAAAACAUUGACCCUACAACUUGAACAGAUAGAAAGAGAGCAGCAAAAGGAGCCCACAGUCACCAGAAGAAAGGGCAUAAUAAAGAUUAGAGCAGUAAUACAUGAAAUAGAGAACAGAAAAACAAUACAAAGGAUCAACAAGACCAGAAGUUGGUUCUUUAAAAGGUUCACCAAAAUUGACAAAACCACUGGUCAAAUUGACAAAAGAAAAGUAGGAGAGGAAGCAAAUAACCUGAAUAAGAAAUGAGAUGGGUGAUAUCAUAACGGAAUCAAUUGAAAUAAAAACGAUCACAACAGAGUACUAUGAAAAAUUGUACGUGAACAAAUUUGAGAACCUAGAGGAAAUGGACAAAUUUCUAGAAACCCACUACCUACCUAAACUAAUACAAACUGAGAUAGAAAAACUAAACAGACUCAUAACAAAAGAAGGGAUUAAAGUAGUAAUUAAAAUAAAAAAAAAAAAACCUCUCAACAAAAAAAAAAAGCUGUGGCCCAGAUGGCUUCACUAGAGAAUUCUACCAAACAUUCAGAAAAGAGCACAAACCAAUAGUGCUCAAACUAUUUCAGAGCAUAGAAAAGGAAGGAAUACUCUGGAAUUCAUUCUGUGACACCAGCAUAACCCUGAUACCAAAGCCAGGGAAAGAGACAACAAAAAUUUUUAAAAAGAGAAAAGAAAGGAAAAUUUCAGAUGGGUAUCCCUCAUGGAUAGAGAUGCAAUAAUUUUCAAUACAAUUCUAGCCAAGAGACUUCAACAGCAUAUCAAAGAAAUGAUAUAUCAUAACCAGCUGGGAUUCAUGCCAGAUAUGCGAUGAUGGUUCAACAUUAGCAAAUCAAUCAACGUAAUCCACCACAUAAAUAAAAGAAUCACACGCUCAUCUCAGUCAAAACAGAGGAGGCAUUUUAUAAAACCUGUCCUAGGCUGGGUGCUCUAGAAAAGCAAAACCAGUCAAGUGUAUAAAUAUGUACAGAGUGGUUUAUGUCAAGGAAAUGGCUCACGUGGUUGUAGAGGUUGGAAUGUGCCAAAUCCAUGGGUCAGGCUGCAGGGGCUGGCGAACCCAAGAUCAGCAAGUCAGACAGCAGGCCUCUGGCUCACAGGCCGUGGAGACCAAUGAAUCCAAAGAUUGGCAGGUGUUAUGCAUUGAAUUGUGUACCCCAAAAAUGUGUGUCAACUUGGAUAGGCCAUGAUUCCCAAUAUUGUGUGCACGUCCACCAUUUGGGGACUUCAUACCACCAAGAAACAAGAGCCAGGAGAAUAGGUCCCUGUAAUGAGAAGUUCCUCCACCAGGAAGAUUGAUGACAAGGACUUUCCUCCAUAGCUGACAGAGAGAGAAAGCCUUCCCCUGUAGCUGACACCCUGAAUUAGGACUUCUAGCCUCCUAGACUGUGAGAGAAUAAAUUUGUCUUUGUUAAAGCCAUUCACUUGUGGUAUUUCUAUUACAGCAGCACUAGAUAACUAAGACAGCAGGCAAGGAGGCAGGUAAGCUGCUAGCUCAAGUCCCAAGAACUGGAGGUCAGAUGAGCAGGAGCCAGCUGCAGGAUCCAGAGCAAGCAAAAGCCCAUGAGCCUUGCCACCUUUAUUGGAUGCAGGGUACAUUCCUAAGGAAACUCCCUUUUAACUGAUUGGCUGCUCACAGCAGAUCCCUUCAUGGAGGUGAUCACAUUAUAUCAGAUCUCAUUGUGGAGGUGAUUACAUCAUUAUACAAUUGUCAAACUACACCAUAGCUGCCAAACAACUAAGAAUCGUGGCCUAGCCAAGUUGACACACAACCUUAACAAUCACAAAAGCCCUCAGCAAAAUAGGAAUAGAAGGGAAGUUCCUCAGCAUAACAAAUAGCAUUUAUACAAAACCAACAACCAACAUUAUUCUCAACAGAGAGAGACUGAAAGCAUUCCCCUUGAGAACGUGAACAAGACAGGGAUGCCUUUUACCACCAGUCUUACUCAACAUUGUGCUGGAAGUCCUAGCUAGAGCAAUAAGGCAAAAAAAGAAAUAAAGGGCAGCCAAGUUGAUAAGUGUCUUAGUUAUCUAGUGCUGCUAUAACAGAAAUGCCACAAGUGAAUGGCUUUAACAAAGAGACAUUUAUUCUUUCAUGGACUGGGAGGCUAGAAGUCUGAAUUCAGAGUGCCAGCUCCAGGGGAAGUCUUUCUCUCUCUAUUGGAUCUGGGGGAAAGUCCUUGUCAUCAAUCUUCCCUGGUCAAGGAGCUUCUCAACACACAGACCCCAGGUCCAAAGGACGUACUCUUCUCCUGGCUCUUGUUUCUUGGUGGUAUGAGGUCCACCUGUCUCUCUGCUCGCUUCUGUCUUUUAUAUCUCAAAAGAGAUUGACUUAAGACAAAACCUAAUUGUAUAGAUUGGGUCCUGCCUCAUUAACAUAACUGCCUCCAAUCCUGCCUCAUUAACAUCAUAGAGGUAGGGUUUACAAAACAUAGGAAAACCACAUCAGAUGACAAAAUGGUAGAUAGUCUCACAAUACCGGGAAUCAUGGCCUAGCCAAGUUGACACACAUUUUGGGAGGACACAAUUCAAUCCAUAACAGUAAGAAAGAAGUAAAAUUAUACCUAUUUGCAGAUGAUAUGGUCAUAUACAUAGAAAAUUUCAAAGAAUCUAUAAGGAAGCUACUGGAAAUAAUGGAAGGGUUCAGCAAAGUAGCAGGAUACAUGAUUAACAUACAAAAAAUCAGUUGGAUUCCUCUACACCAACAGAGAAGUUCAAAAAGGAAAUCAGGAAAACAAUACCAUUUACAGUAGCUCCCUAAAAGAUAAAAUACUUAGGAAUAAAUCUAACCAGGGACACGAAAGAUAUGUUCAAAAAGAACUAUCAAAGAUUGCUACAUGAAACCAAAAGAGACCUAAAUAAACAGAAAAACAUUUCAGCCUCAUGAAUAGGAAGACUCAACAUUGUGAAAAUAUCAGUACUACGCUAAGCCACCUACAGAUAGAAUGCAAUCCUGAUCCAAAUUCCAACAGCAUUCUUUAACAUGAUGAAGAAACUGAUCACAAAUUUUAUGUGGAAAAGGAAGAGGACCUGGAUAAGUAAAGCAUUAUUGAAGAAGAACAACAAAGUAGGAGACCUCACACCACCUGGUCUUAGAACCUGUUGUGCAGCCACCGUAGUCAAAAGAGCCUGGUGCUGCUCCAACAGACACACAGACCCGGGGAAGAGAAUUGAGUGCCCAAAUGUAAAUCCGUCCACCUGUGGUCAGCUGAUCUGUGACAAAGGACCAGGUCUGUUCAAUAGGGAAAAGAAAAUCUCUUCAACAAGUGGUGCCAAUGACACUAGACGUCCAUCUGUAAGAAAAUGACGCAGGACCCACACCUCACACCACACACAAAAACUAACUCAAAAUGGAUCGAAGACCUAAAUAUAAAACCUAAAACAAUAAAGACCAUGGAAGAAAAAAUAGGGACAGUGCUGGGGCCCUAAUACAUGGGAUAAAUAGAAUACAAGCCUUAACUAACCAUGCACAAACACCAGAAGACAAACCGGAUAACUGGGAGCUCCUAAAAAUUGAACACUUACGCUCAUCAAAAGACUUCACCAAAAGAGUAAAAAGAGAACGUACAGACUAGAAAAAAAAAUUUUGGUCACAACAUAUCCGACAAGGGUCUAAUCUCUAAAAUAUAUAGAAUACUUCAAUGCCUCAAGCACAAAAAGACAAAUAAUCCGGUUUAAAAAUGGGCCAAGGAUACGAAUAGACACUUCACCAAAGAGGAUAGUCAGGAAGCCAGGAGACAUGUGAGGAAAUGCUCACGAUCAUUAGCCAUUAGAGAAAUGCAAAUCAAAAACACAGUGACAUACCAUCUCACCCAGACAUUACUGGCACUAAUCCAAAUUAAAAAAAUAAAGCAGAAAAUAAUAAACAUCUGAGAGGUUACGGGGAGAUCGCAACAGUUAUGCACUGCUGGUGGGAAUGGAAAUGGUACAACCACUAUGGAAAACAAUAUGGCAUCUCCUUAAAAGCUAGAAAUAGAAAUACCAUAAGAUCCAGCAAUUCCACUCCAAGAAUAUACCCUAGAGAAAUAAGAGCUGUCAAACAAAUAGACAUAUGCACACCCAUGUUCACUGCAGCACUACUUGAAAAAGCAAAAAUAUGAAAACAUGCUAAGUGACCAUCAGGAGAUGAAUGGAUAAAUUAUGGUACAUACACACAGUGGAAUACUAUGCAACAAUAAAGAACAAUGAUGAAUGCAUGAAACACCUCACAACAUGCAUGAAUCUGGAGCAUGUUAUGUUGAGUGAAAUAAGUCAAUCACAAAAGAACAAAUAUUGUAUAAGACCUGUAUUAUAAAAACUAAAGAAAAGAUUAAAAAAAAAAAAAAAGAACUAGAUGGUGCCCAGCUGCCAACACCGACUGCUCUGAGAGUGAUCACUAUCAAUAGAGGGUCCCAGGCAGAGCAGGAGAAAAAUGGUAGAACAAAAUUCAGAUUCACACACACACAAAAAAGAUCAGACUUACUUGUCCUACAGAGAGUGGAGGAACCCCCAAGACUAUGGCCCCCAGACACUCUCCUAACUCAGAACUGAAGCCCCUGCCAAAGCCCACUUUUCAGCCAAAGAUUAGAGAGCCCUACAAAACAAAACAUAACACAAGAUAAAUGUGUUUCUCAGUUCCAACAAAUGUCUGGGACUAAAUGAGCAACACCUGCCCAGAAGCAAAGACGAGAAGGUAGGAAGGGACAGGAAAACUGGACGAAUGGACACAGGGAACUCAAGGUGGAAAGGGGGAGAAUGCUGACACAUUGAGGGGAUUGCAACCAAUGUCACAAAACAAUUUGUGUGUAAAUUUUUGAAUGAGACACUAAUUUGCACUGUAAACUUUCACCUGAAGAUCAAAAAAAUGAAAAAAUAUAUAUGCAGAAAUCUCAAGAAGAGUAUACAGGAAAAAAUAAUGCUUCUUCCCAUCCCGGACUCCUCCUUUCCCUCCCCUGUGCUGGUGAUUGAAACCAGUUUUUCUCGUGUCCAUCCAGAGAUACUCUAUGCCUAGGCAACCACUUACUCAUCUAUAAAUACCCUUUUAAAAAAUACAAAUAGAUGCAUACAGCUCAUAGUGUUCCUCGUCGUGGUUUUUUCACUGAGUUCAUUAUGCAUAUUCAUAUUAAUACAGAAAGAUCUGCUUCCUUUUUUAAUGGCUACAGAGAGUUCCGUUGUAUGAUGUGCCUUCAUUGAUUUAAUUGAUUCCUUGCUGGUGGGCAGUAAUGCUCACUGAUUAGCUAAGGAUUGUCAAAACCUCAUAGGCUGACAUUUCUCCUAAGUAUUUCCUGAAUAAUUCUUCUAGGGUUCUUGUAUGCCGGCAAGGUUGAGAACUAAGGCUGAUAAAAAAACAGAGUAGACUACUUGAAUCCUCAGGGACAGGGCAGGUAAGGUAAUAAUAGAGGACACUGUGGUUCACUGGUAAGAUUCUCGCCUUCCAUGUGAGAGAUUGGGAUUUCAUCUCUAGCCAAUGCACCUCAAGCAUAGCCAUCACCUGUCUGUCAGUGAGGUUUGCAUGUUUUUUUUGUUUUUUUGUAUUUUUUUGUGGCUGAACAGAUUUCAGCAGAACUUUCAGACUCAGAUGGACUAGGAAGAAAAAACUGGUAACCUACUUCCAAAAAUCAGCCAGUGAAAACCCUAUGGAUCGCAACAGUCUGAUCCACAACCAGUCAUGGGGGUGGUGCAGGACCAGGCAGUGCUUCAUUCCAUUGUACGUGGGGUCGCCAUGAGUCAGGGGUUGACUCAACAGCAGCUAACCAAAACAACAGUAGUUAAAAGAGAUGGUACCUUUGCCGUCAGGACAGUGCUGUAGGCCACUAGGAUUGGAACUUGUAUUCCAGGAUCUUUCUUUAGCUUGGUGUUCCCCUGCUCCCUGCACUGUGCGGGCACUUGGUAAGUGUGUAUUAAGCGGGUACAAAUGAAUGAAUGUCCCUGCCCUGUCAGUUUAACUGGGGAGAUGUGCUCCCAUUUAAGGUUUACUCAUUAUGCAUUCUGUCUGGCAGCCGUUUCCUGUUUUACACAUUGACAGGGAGGAGGGGAAAUGUCAGUGUGCCUGUGUGGUGGGGAAGCAGCCACAGUAAUGACAUCUGUGUCUCUCUGCUCAUGGGGCUGGCUCAGCACACCCUAUUCCUCCUGCCCACCCCUCUCCCUUGCUGUGGUGGGUACUUGUGGCCUUGGGUUGACACAAAUUAAAUCCAAGACCUAAGUGAGGUCCCAUGAGCUUUAUAUCCCCAUAGUAGAGUGUGUUUAAGGCAACGGGUUUUUUAAAAUUAAAUCUGAAAAGCACUCUUGUGCCUCUUAUUACUUUUCAAGGGCCAGAGCUCUCUGCUUUGAUUCAGCUUUCUCAUGUAUUAGCACAAAACUAAGAAGUACGGAGAAGCAUAUUCACUUCCCAGGGGCUGCCGUAACAAAUUACCACAAACUGGGUGGCUUCAAACAGCAGUAACGUAUUCACUCACAGUUCUGGAGGCCAGAAGUCCAAAAUCAAGGUGUCCUUAGGUUGGUUCCUUUGGGAGACUGCAAGAGAGAAUCCAUUCCUUGCCUCUCUCCGAGUUUAUGGCGGCUGCCAACAUUCCUUGGUGUUCUUGACUUGCAUCGCUUCAGUUUCUGCCUCCGCCUUCACACAGUUUUCCGCUUUGUGUCUGAGUCUCAAAUCACCCUCUCCUUUCUCUUAGAAGGGCACCAGUCAUUGGGUUUAGGGCCCACCGAGGUCAUCCAGGGGCCUGGUGGCGUAGUUUGUUAAAGAACUCAGCUGCUAACCAAAAAGGUCGGCAGUUGGAAUCCACCAGCUGCUCCUCAGAAACCCUUUGGGGCAGUUCUGCUCUGUCCUAUGGGGUCACUGUGAGUUGGAACCAACUCAAUGGCCAUGGUUUUGGUUUAGGGUCGUCCAGGAUGAUCUCAUCCCGAGAUCCUUAGUUUAAUUACAUUGACAAAGAUGCCCAUUUCCAAAUAAGGUCGCAUUCACAGGUCGGGAGGUUAGGACUUGGGCACACCUUUUGGGGGACGCUAUUUAACCCCCCACCCCACCCCCAACUCCUAGUGACCCCAUAGGGUUUCCAAGGCUGUAAACCUCUAUGGCAGCAGACUGCCACAUCUUUCUCCCAAGGAGCCGCUGGUAGUUUCGAGCUGCCGACCUUUCAGUUCGCAGUUGGUCCCUUUAGCCACUGUGCCCCCAGGGCUGCUUAUUUACCCACUACAGGAGGGAAUUUUUCAGUUUACUGAGCAGGUGAUUCAGAUCAAGGGACAUAUUCUGAGUACCUGCUAUGUGCCUGACUGCCGAUCACAGGCAGGCUUGUUAGCCCAUUUCACCCUCAAAAACCUUGUGAGAAAGAUACUUUUUUUCAGAAGGGGAAACAGACUCAGGGAGGUUAAGUGACUUGCCCGAGGUUAGGAGAGUUAGGAAAUAGUAGGACUGGAAUAUGCCAGCUCUGGCUUUUCAUUUAACUACAACUAAAAUCUCUGUAGGGAAGGGCACAGGAAGAAAAAGUAUUCUGCUAAUACUUUCAAAUAAAUAAAGCUUAUUGCUGACAUUAGGAAUCAGUAAUUACUUAAAAAUCAAUUAAUGUGACUAUUUCUAGUACUUACGAAAAACUGAACUGAAGUUUCACAUUUGCCAAAAAAAAAAAAAAAACCCCC